CCUACGGGUGGCAGCAGUGGGGAAUAUUGCACAAUGGGGGGAACCCUGAUGCAGCGACGCCGCGUGGGUGAAGGAGGAUUUCGGGAUGUAAAGCCCUAUCAGCAGGGAAGAACAAUGACGGGACCGGACUAAGAAGCACCGGCGAAAUAAGUGCAAGCAGCCGCGGUAAUACGAAUGGUGCAAGCGUUCUCCGGAUUUACGGGGUGUAAAGGGAGCGCAGGCGGCGCGGUAAGGCGGGUGUGAAAGCGCGCGGCCCAACCGCGGGACUGCAUUGGGAACUGGCGCGCUGGAGUGCCGCAGGGGUAGGCGGAAUUCCUCGUGUAUCUGUGAAAUGCUUAGAUAUUACG
rnacentral:rRNA from 1 species